CCUACGGGAGGCAGCCGUGAGGAAUAUUGGUCAAUGGACGCAAGUCUGAACCAGCCAUGCCGCGUGCAGGAAGACGGCUCUAUGAGUUGUAAACUUCUUUUGUACGGGGACAAAUGCCGGUACGAGUCUCCGGUUGAAAGUAUCUUAAGAAUAAGGAUCGGCUAACUCCGUGCCAGCAGCCGCGGUAAUACGGAGGAUUCAAGCGUUAUCCGGAUUUAUUGGGUUUAAAGGGUGCGGAGGCGGUCCGUUAAGUUAGAGGGGAAAUCCCGGGGCUCAACUCCGGCACGGCCUCUGAUACUGGCGGGCUAGAGUUUAGGAGCGGUACGCGGAAUGUAUGGUGUAGCGGUGAAAUGCAUAGAGAUCGUACAGAACACCGAUUGCGAAGGCAGCGUACCAACUUACGACUGACGUUGAGGCACGAAAGCGUGGGGAUCAAACAGGAUUAGAUACCCGAGUAGUC
rnacentral:rRNA from 1 species